CCCUUAGGUGUUCUGGGCCGCACGCGCGCCACACUGACGAAUGCAACGAGCUUAUAACCUUGGCCGAAAGGUCUGGGUAAUCUCCAAAUUUCGUCGUGAUGGGGAUAGAUUAUUGCAAUUAUUAAUCUUCAACGAGGAAUGCCUAGUAAGCGCAAGUCAUCAGCUUGCGUUGAUUACGUCCCUGCCCUUUGUACACACCGCCCGUCGCUCCUACCGAUUGAAUGGUCCGGUGAAGCGUUCGGACCGUGGCCUUUGGACGGUUCGCCGUCUGUUGGCUGCGGGAAGUUCGUUAAACCUUAUCAUUUAGAGGAAGGAGAAGUCGUAACA
rnacentral:rRNA from 1 species